UCCAGCAAUUAUACAACUCCCUUGUCCAUCUUGCGGCCCCACACUAGCAUUCCGGUGCUAGACUGUGCCUUUGAACAUAGUCACUCAUCUCUUUUUGAUGCAUUAUCGCCGUGCUCAUAUCUCGCUCUUCAUUAUCUGAAGAUUUUCUUCCUUCUGGAGUUCCUGGGAUCUAAAGCUAAGCCUUCUGGAGCCUUCCUGCGGUUUUUAUUAUCUUUUCCCUUCCAAUUUUCCAUCCUUUCUUGUGUGCUGGCUUUGUCUUCUUGAGAUUUCCGUGGUUAUCUUCUUUUAUAACUUCAGUUUGUUCUGGAAGCUCCAUUUAAAAAUAACAAUGUGCUAUUAUUUCAUGAUGCAAAACCUUCUCGGACUGCUUUGUGACAAUUAAUACUAUGUGCGUUUAACUUUUAGUUUUCUGUUUGCAUUGUUUGUGCUUCUUACGUGUUUAUCUUGGCCAGUUUCCCUGUCAAAAGUUUUCCUCCAGUGUAUGAUAAGUAUGAACUAUAUGUUUUAUUUAGUUAUUAAUUUAUUUUGGUUGUUCGGGUCUAAUUUAUUAACGGCAAAUUAGUAAAAAUUUUGGGGAACCACGAAUCAUUUAAUUUUUUCUUUCAUUGCACUUUGCUCUGGUUUUAAAAGGAAUAACGCAUCUGUUCAUUGUGACAUAAAUGAGGAAGGAAACAGCAAACAGGGACGCCCUUGUAGGCAAAGGUCUAGGGACGGAAGAGAAGGUCUCAGGCAGGCAGCUCUGACUACUUGGGAUUGAAUAACUUAUCAAGAAUUUUUUCCCCUGGAGAAAAUUGGUUCCUCCUCUCUCAAGUAGCCGCUGAUCGAUUGAAGCUCUUCAACGAGGGUUGUGACCUUGUGAAAUUCUACCAUCUAUGUUGGCAUGUCACCUGGAUUCAUAUUUAGUUAUUUUCUAGGACAAUGCUUACUGUGGCUUUCAAGGCGGGAGAAAGCACCCCCGAGGGGGUCGUGUCCCACACUAGGCAGAUCUAAUGGCGCCACAAAAGACAGGUGUUUCGUCAGAUUUCAGCCACACACUUUCACACCUGCAACGCAUUAACUACAGCGUGGAUGUUAAUGAAGACCAGGUGCCUGUUUUCCAACCUACGGAGGGACUGCCAGGAGGAUUACUGUUUGCUACCUGACAUCUCCUGGGGAUCUCCAGCAGAGUCCUCUGGUUGAAGACUUGAAGACUGGAGAGACUGAACCUGCCUGGGAGUGACUAGCCCUGUGGAAACUAGGGUAUUGGUAUGAAGACUUCACCCUCACCUUAUGGUUGCGAGUUGUGACUUCUUUACCAGAUCCGAUCUCUGCCAUUUUCAUCCUAAAAUAACCGGGGAACUCUUCCAGCAGUGUGUCUCUGUUCUGUAGGCUGCCUGAGCCCAGAGUGCAGUCUCCCAGAGCCCUGGAAAUUGCUGAGCUACACGAUCUACAAAGUGGAUUUCUGGAAACUGCUGUGUUAUCAGCUGUUACCAGGGAAAGUUUGUAGCAACUCAAGUCUUUUGAAACUCAAGGUUUGCCAUUGCUCCCGGAAGCAGGUAAUGGGCGCCUUGAGCAAUCUCUAUUUAUUUUAAUAAGACACAAGGUUUUCAUUGUGUUUUUGCGGGCUAUGUAGUUUUAAUGCUUUCUGUUAUGAAAUACAAAAUCCUUUUCUCUCUCCCUUGAAA
rnacentral:sRNA from 1 species